AGCUCAAGGUCCUCACCAGAAGCAGAUGCAGAUGCCAUGGUCCUUGGACAGCCUGCAGAACCAUCAGCCAAAUAAGCCUCUUCUCUUUAGGAAUUACCCAGCCACAGGGUUUCACUGUCACCUAGGCUGGAGUGACAUCAUCAGAGUUCACUGCAGCCUCGAUCUGCUGGGCUCAAGCCAUCCUCCCACCUAAGCCUCCCGAAGAGCUAAGACCACAGCAAGGAUCAGGCAUUGUAACAGCCUCAUGAAGUUGUGAAGAUUAAACGAAGUGACACAUGUGAAUCAUUGAGGACAAUGCUGGGCAAAUAGUCUUAGGCCUUUCAUCUGGAUCUUGGAGGCUGAUCAGAGUUUGGAGGUCAGGAAAGGGAGGAGCAACAGGCCAAGAGAACACAAAAUGAUUAGCUGCAUGGUGGGUCAAGUUAAGAUUCUGGGUAAAUAAUGACUGAGUUUUGGCAACCCAAACAGCUGUGGCAUUUCACAGAAAUGGGAUUUCAAGAUA